GACGAACGUUGGCGGCGUGCUUAAUACAUGCAAGUCAACUGAAGCAGUGGUAGCAAUAUCGCUGUGGAGGUGGCGCACGGGUGAGUAACACGUAGGUAAUCUGCCUUCAGGUCUGGCAUAACUCCGGGAAACCGGGGCUAAUAGCAGAUGAUGCAGCGGCUCGACAUCGAGACAGUUGUUAAAGCUAUGGCGCCUGAAGAUGAGCCUGCGUCUGAUUAGCUAGUUGGCGGGGUAACGGCCCACCAAGGCAACGAUCAGUAGCUGGUCUGAGAGGAUGAUCAGCCACACUGGAACUGAGACACGGUCCAGACUCCUACGGGAGGCAGCAGUAAGGAAUAUUGCUCAAUGGGAGAAAUCCUGAAGCAGCAACGCCGCGUGAGGGACGAAGGGCUUUGGCUUGUAAACCUCUGUAGUGAGAGAAAAAAAUCCCAAUCUUUGGGACAUGAUGGUAUCUCAAAAGUAAGCCCCGGCUAACUACGUG
rnacentral:rRNA from 1 species